GAUGAACGCUAGCGGCGUGCUUAACGCAUGCAAGUCGAACGAGAAGCUUUCCUUCGGGGAAGUGGAGAGUGGCGAACGGGUGAGUAACACGUAGAUACGUACCCCGGAGAGGGGGAUAACCAUUGGAAACGAUGGCUAAUACCCCAGAUGUUAUUUAUAACUAAAGCUCCGGCGCUCCGGGAGCGGUCUGCGGUCCAUCAGCUAGUUGGUGAGGUAAUAGCUCACCAAGGCAAAGACGGAUAGGGGACGUGAGAGCGUGAUCCCCCACACUGGUACUGAUACACGGACCAGAUACCUACGGGUAGCAGCAGCGAGGAAUAUUGCGCAAUGGGGGCAACCCUGACGCAGCAACGCCGCGUGGAGGAAGAAGGCCUUCGGGUCGUAAACUCCUUUUCUGACAGAAGAGAAAGGACGGUAUGUCAGGAAUAAGGCCCGGCUAACUACG
rnacentral:rRNA from 1 species